GACGAACGCUGGCGGCGUGCUUAACACAUGCAAGUCGAACGGUAAGGCCCUUCGGGGUACACGAGUGGCGAACGGGUGAGUAACACGUGGGUGAUCUGCCCUGCACUUCGGGAUAAGCCUGGGAAACUGGGUCUAAUACCGGAUAGGACCACUGCCUGCAUGGGUGGUGGUGGAAAGCUUUUGCGGUGUGGGAUGGGCCCGCGGCCUAUCAGCUUGUUGGUGGGGUGAUGGCCUACCAAGGCGACGACGGGUAGCCGGCCUGAGAGGGUGACCGGCCACACUGGGACUGAGAUACGGCCCAGACUCCUACGGGAGGCAGCAGUGGGGAAUAUUGCGCAAUGGGCGAAAGCCUGACGCAGCAACGCCGCGUGAGGGAUGACGGCCUUCGGGUUGUAAACCUCUUUCAGCAGGGAAGAAGCGAAAGUGACGGUACCUGCAGAAGGAGCACCGGCUAACUACGUGCCAGCCGCCGCCGUAA
rnacentral:rRNA from 1 species